AUAUUAUUAAGGGGAGGAAAAGAAACUAACAAGGAUUCCCCCAGUAACGGCGAGUGAAGCGGGAACAGCUCAAAGUGAAAAUCGAUGCUUGUCACAGAGUAUCGAGUUGUAACCUAGAGACGCAAAGCCAGUGACAGCCCAGGUAUAAAUCUUUUUGAACAAGGUAUCAGAGAGGGUGACAAUCCCGUCUUUGACUUGGAGUCAUGUCACGUACGGUUUGUGUUCGACGAGUCGAGUUGCUUGGGAAUGCAGCUUAAAAUGGGUGGUAAAUUUCAUCUAAAGCUAAAUAUUGGCGAGAGACCGAUAGCGCACAAGUA
rnacentral:rRNA from 1 species